GACGAACGCUGGCGGCGUGCUUAACACAUGCAAGUCGAACGGAAAGGCCCUGCUUUUGUGGGGUGCUCGAGUGGCGAACGGGUGAGUAACACGUGAGUAACCUGCCCUUGACCUUGGGAUAACUUCAGGAAACUGGGGCUAAUACCGGAUAGGAGCUCCUGCUGCAUGGUGGGGGUUGGAAAGUUUCGGCGGUUGGGGAUGGACUCGCGGCUUAUCAGCUUGUUGGUGGGGUAGUGGCUUACCAAGGCUUUGACGGGUAGCCGGCCUGAGAGGGUGACCGGCCACAGUGGGACUGAGAGACGGCCCAGACUCCUACGGGAGGCAGCAGUGGGGAAUAUUGCACGAUGGGCGGAAGCCUGAUGCAGCAACGCCGCGGGCGGGAUGAAGGCCUUCGGGUUGUAAACCGAUUUCGCCUGUGACGAAGAGUGAGUGACGGUAAUGGGUAAAGAAGCACCGGCUAACUACGUG
rnacentral:rRNA from 1 species